AAUAUCAUUGGAAUGAGCCCCCUUGGCAGAUGUACAGGUCCUGAUGACAGGUAUUUUCCAGGUCCAGGGUCCCACAAUCACAGCUCUAAAAGAUUCUCUGUGUGAAGUGUUUGAAGAAGUGGUGGACGUGACACUGAUCUUGGAGCUGCAUUCCCUGACUCUGUUAAGCCUGAAAGAAUUGAAUUUACAACCCAGAAGAGAGACAAAUGAGUCAUACCCUGCCUUCUCUGAAAAGUUUCAUUGGAUUGAGGCAGAACCUGAAGGCUUAUUCUCUUUAACGGCAAGUAAGAAGUAUAUUUAAGUGUCUACUUUUGCUGACACACAGUUGGCAGGUUUCAUCAUGAAACUCAAUGUACACAUAUACCCUGCAUUCAUGUUAUACCUGUUAAAUAAAGAAGAUUAAAUAAGAUCA
rnacentral:lncRNA from 1 species